rnacentral:lncRNA from 1 species
GAAGAAAUUAAAGUCCUUCCUCUCUUCAGAAGGUGGAGUAGAUGAACUAUAAGGAUAAGAGGUGGCAAUCCGUGGCCUGUCACAUACAUUUAUGUUUAAAAUUAAAGAUGGCCAAUUUUCCUUUAAGGCUGUUCCAAUUCCACACCACUUCUCGAAAUAACUGGAGCUGUCCAGGAUGGGCUGGGAAUAUCCCAUCUACGUUGUCUGCCUUACUGGAGGCUUCGCAUUCUCUCAGAGACACUUUGCUCAUGUACACCAUUUGGCAAGAAAGAGUCAUUGGCAUGUCCUUGGAUGACCCCUUGUCUAAGUGGACUUUUUGGAUGGUACUGUUGAUCAAUGGGGGCUUUGUAAGCGGGCAGGCCCCACUGCUGCCCUGAAGAUCUCUUCUGCACCCUGCAAAUGACACUAACAUUAUGAAAAAUUUCUCCAAAGACAGAUAUUUUCAAUUAGCCAAAUUACUCUAACAGUAAUUUAAAUCAGGAAGAUUUAAGGCAGAGCUAGUUCCUAUGCCAGCCAAGAAGACUGCUCUGCCAGUUGAAAGGCAAGCACAUCCUUCCCUGCCAACUUGCAAUGAGAUGGUUCUUGCAGUGACAGCAGAUCUACCAUGCACGUUUGAUUUAAAUCCCUCCAUUACCAUACCUUUGUAAUUAUCAUCAGGCAAUGAUGAGUCCUGGGGAAAGUAUGGAUCUUAAAUUCGAGGAUCCAGAAGCCUAAUCGAAAUGCAGCACAUGAAAUGAAUCUUUCUUCUUGGUAUAUCUCCUCUUUUCAACCAAUUGGUCUUGAUUUAAGUAAAAUUGUAGCAAAACCCUGUGCCA